rnacentral:lncRNA from 1 species
GAUCAGUGAUGAGCAAAUGUUGAGGGUUCCGAUCGCCGGCGGCGUUUGAUUGGCCAAGAUUCAACUGUGAUUUUCGCCGGAGAGCUAAGCCGCGACAAAGAUGUUUAUAUUGAGGCUUGUCUGUAAUAUUUCUGAUUUUUUAUAAGAUGAAAAUAUAAACUUAUUUUGUUUGCUCUUUCAUUAGUUAUAUUGAGGCUUGUCUGUAAUUUUUGUGAUUUUUUAUAAGAUGAAAAUAUAAACUUAUUUUGUUUGCUGAAAAGCCAUUUAUAAUUAGAGAAAUUACCAUUUCCUUGUCACUU